rnacentral:tRNA from 1 species
GCCCCCAUGAGGUAAUGGCUAGCCUGCCGGGUUUUCACCCCGGUCGCACGGGUUCGAAUCCCGUUGGGGGUA